rnacentral:rRNA from 1 species
UGUGUAGGCGGAAUAUUAAGUCAGUGGUGAAAUCCUGCGGCUCAACCGUAGAACUGCCAUUGAUACUGAUAUUCUUGAAUGUAGUUGAGGUAGGCGGAAUGUGUAAUGUAGCGGUGAAAUGCUUAGAUAUUACACAGAACACCGAUUGCGAAGGCAGCUUACUAAACUAUGAUUGACGCUGAUGCACGAAAGCGUGGGGAGCGAACAGGAUUAGAUACCCUGGUAGUCC